AGCUCAAGUAGCGUACAUUAAAGUUGUUGCGGUUAAAGCGCUCCUAGUCGAAAGUGUGGCUGAUGCGCGUGGGGCGGCUUUAGGGCCGGACUCGCGGGCGUUGGUUGUUUGUGUGGGUGCUGGGGUGUGCCAUUAGGUUGGUGUGCUCCGAUCAGGUGCCUGCUCGUUUACUGUGAACAAAUUAGAGUGUUCAAAGCAGCCUGUAGCGGCGUGAAUAUCCUAGCAUGGAAUAAUGGAAUAGGACGGAGGUUCGUUUAUUUCGUUGGUUUGGAGGGCCAUCUGUAAUGAUUGAUAGGAACAGUCAGGAGGCUUGAUAUUCGGAAGUCAGAGGUGAAAUUCUUAGAUUUUCCGAGGAUCAACCGGUGCGAAGGCAUUGCCUAGGGAUGUUUUCAUUGAUCAA
rnacentral:rRNA from 1 species